GGUGGUGAUGGGAUAUCUCAGACAGUGAUGGUGGUGGUGGUGGGAUAUCUCAGACAGUGAUGGUGGUGGGCUAUCUCAGCCAGUGAUGAUGGUGGUGGGAUAUCUCAGACAGUGAUGGUGGUGGUGGGAUAUCUCAUACAGUGAUGGUGGUGGGCUAUCUCAGACAGUGAUGGUGGUGGUGGGAUAUCUCAGACAGUGAUGGUGGUGGUGGUGGUGGGAUAUCUCAGACAGUGAUGGUGGUGGUGGUGAGGGGAUAUCUCAGACAGUGAUGGUGGUGGUGGUGAUAUCUCAGACAGUGAUGGUGGGAUAUCUCAGACAGUGAUGGUGGUGGGAUAUCUCAGACAGUGAUGGUGGUGGUGGUGAUGGGAUAUCUCAGACAGUGGUGGUGGUGGUGGUGGGAUAUCUCAGACAGUGAUGGUGUGAUAUCUCAGACAGUGGUGGUGGUGGUGGUGGGAUAUCUCAGACAGUGAUGGUGGUGGGAUAUCUCAGACUGUGGUGGUGGUGGGAUAUCUCAGUGAUGGUGGUGGGAUAUCUCAGACAGCGGUGGUGGUGGGAUAUCUGACAGUGGUGGUGGUGGGAUAUCUCAGACAGUGAUGGUGGUGGGAUAUCUCAGACAGUGGUGGUGGUGGGAUA